ACCACUGGUAUUCAUCAUCAGCUCUACCCGAAAAAGACGAAUAGAUGGAACUUUGAAAAAAUUAUUAUUUUUCGGAUAACAUCUUUUUCGUACCGCUCGUGUUUGUUUUAUAAUUGUUCGAAUAUUUGUUUUAGAUUUCGAAUGCAGUGGUGCACACAGAGGAGCAUUAGGGGGUCGAUUCCCCACCCCCCCCCGAAAAAUUUUCCUUCGCUACGUUUUUCAAAAUCAAUUUUUAAAUUCAACAACAUAAUGUCUUGUACCGCAGAAUGG